rnacentral:rRNA from 1 species
UACAGAGGGUGCGAGCGUUAAUCGGAAUUACUGGGCGUAAAGCGUGCGUAGACGGCUAUCUAAGUCGGGUGUGAAAGCCCCGGGCUCAACCUGGGAAUUGCAUUCGAGACUGAAUAGCUAGGGUACGGUAGAGGGAAGUGGAAUUUCCGGUGUAGCGGUGAAAUGCGUAGAUAUCGGAAGGAACAUCAGUGGCGAAAGCGACUUCCUGGACCCGUACC